rnacentral:lncRNA from 1 species
AUUGCUAUAAAUUUUGAAAAAUUCUAGAUCACUCUACAUUCUUGAUAUUAUAGAAGAACAAAAAAAAGGUUUGAAAGAAAAUGCAUCUUUUGAGGGGGAGCUUUAAAUACUCAAUCUCUUUAUUGAAAAUUAUCUUCAAACUCUAAAUUCUCAAAUGGGGAGAAAGAAAAUUUCAGAAUGAGAGAUCAUAUGGAACUUAAUCGUAUAAAUUCGCAUCUAAAGAUGAGACAAAGAAUACUAAAUGUAAAGUGGUAUUAAACUUUAUGCUUCAUUGAAUAUCUUUUGAAAGUUGGAUUUCCAUCUGUAUUCAUCGGUAAAUCAUUUAUUUCUGAAAAUUAAUUGAAAAGGAUUCCAUCUGUCUUAGUUUCGAAAAUUUAUCUUGGAAUCUACUUAUGAGUUCUUAUUGGCUUGCACUUUAGUGUUUCAAUCCUGAGCCAAUUCAUUUUAAUUGAUUUUGAUGUUAUGAUCUUUAAAGGAGUAAAAGAAAGUCUUUAAGAGAGCUCUAAAAGAACUUCCAAAGCCUUGAAUUUUAUGUAUCCUACACUGCAUAAAUUCAUGUUUUGGUAUCUAUACCCCAAUACUUUUAUAUCAUGAAAGAACUUUGAAGUCAUUAAGAAUUAAGGAUUCAACAUAAUCUUAUGUUCUUUGAGUAUAUAAGGUUUGAUCUUUAUUUGCUCUUAUACUAUACUCUGAAAAUUAAUUAGAUUGCUCUCAUCUUGCUAUAUACUUAAUAUAUAUAUAUAUAUAAAA